AUUGAACGCUGGCGGCAGGCCUAACACAUGCAAGUCGAACGGUAACAGGAAGAAGCUUGCUUCUUUGCUGACGAGUGGCGGACGGGUGAGUAAUGUCUGGGAAACUGCCUGAUGGAGGGGGAUAACUACUGGAAACGGUAGCUAAUACCGCAUAACGUCGCAAGACCAAAGAGGGGGACCUUCGGGCCUCUUGCCAUCGGAUGUGCCCAGAUGGGAUUAGCUAGUUGGUGGGGUAACGGCUCACCAAGGCGACGAUCCCUAGCUGGUAUGAGAGGAUGACCAGCCACACUGGAACUGAGACCCGGUCCAGACUCCUACGGGAGGCAGCAGUGGGGAAUAUUGCACAAUGGGCGCAAGCCUGAUGCAGCCAUGCCGCGUGUAUGAAGAAGGCCUUCGGGUUGUAAAGUACUUUCAGCGGGGAGGAGGGGAGUAAAGUUAAUACCUUUGCUCAUUGACGUUACCCGCAGAAGAAGCACCGGCUAACUCCGUGCCAGCCGCCGCCGUAA
rnacentral:rRNA from 1 species